UAAUUUUUAUGGAGAGUUUGAUCCUGGCUCAGGAUGAACGCUGGCGGCGUGCCUAAUACAUGCAAGUCGAGCGAACGGACGAGAAGCUUGCUUCUCUGAUGUUAGCGGCGGACGGGUGAGUAACACGUGGAUAACCUACCUAUAAGACUGGGAUAACUUCGGGAAACCGGAGCUAAUACCGGAUGAUAUUUUGAACCGCAUGGUUCAAAAGUGAAAGACGGUCUUGCUGUCACUUAUAGAUGGAUCCGCGCUGCAUUAGCUAGUUGGUAAGGUAACGGCUUACCAAGGCAACGAUGCAUAGCCGACCUGAGAGGGUGAUCGGCCACACUGGAACUGAGACACGGUCCAGACUCCUACGGGAGGCAGCAGUAGGGAAUCUUCCGCAAUGGGCGAAAGCCUGACGGAGCAACGCCGCGUGAGUGAUGAAGGUCUUCGGAUCGUAAAACUCUGUUAUUAGGGAAGAACAUAUGUGUAAGUAACUGUGCACAUCUUGACGGUACCUAAUCAGAAAGCCACGGCUAACUACGUGCCAGCAGCCGCGGUAAUACGUAGGUGGCAAGCGUUAUCCGGAAUUAUUGGGCGUAAAGCGCGCGUAGGCGGUUUUUUAAGUCUGAUGUGAAAGCCCACGGCUCAACCGUGGAGGGUCAUUGGAAACUGGAAAACUUGAGUGCAGAAGAGGAAAGUGGAAUUCCAUGUGUAGCGGUGAAAUGCGCAGAGAUAUGGAGGAACACCAGUGGCGAAGGCGACUUUCUGGUCUGUAACUGACGCUGAUGUGCGAAAGCGUGGGGAUCAAACAGGAUUAGAUACCCUGGUAGUCCACGCCGUAAACGAUGAGUGCUAAGUGUUAGGGGGUUUCCGCCCCUUAGUGCUGCAGCUAACGCAUUAAGCACUCCGCCUGGGGAGUACGACCGCAAGGUUGAAACUCAAAGGAAUUGACGGGGACCCGCACAAGCGGUGGAGCAUGUGGUUUAAUUCGAAGCAACGCGAAGAACCUUACCAAAUCUUGACAUCCUUUGACAACUCUAGAGAUAGAGCCUUCCCCUUCGGGGGACAAAGUGACAGGUGGUGCAUGGUUGUCGUCAGCUCGUGUCGUGAGAUGUUGGGUUAAGUCCCGCAACGAGCGCAACCCUUAAGCUUAGUUGCCAUCAUUAAGUUGGGCACUCUAAGUUGACUGCCGGUGACAAACCGGAGGAAGGUGGGGAUGACGUCAAAUCAUCAUGCCCCUUAUGAUUUGGGCUACACACGUGCUACAAUGGACAAUACAAAGGGCAGCGAAACCGCGAGGUCAAGCAAAUCCCAUAAAGUUGUUCUCAGUUCGGAUUGUAGUCUGCAACUCGACUACAUGAAGCUGGAAUCGCUAGUAAUCGUAGAUCAGCAUGCUACGGUGAAUACGUUCCCGGGUCUUGUACACACCGCCCGUCACACCACGAGAGUUUGUAACACCCGAAGCCGGUGGAGUAACCUUUUAGGAGCUAGCCGUCGAAGGUGGGACAAAUGAUUGGGGUGAAGUCGUAACAAGGUAGCCGUAUCGGAAGGUGCGGCUGGAUCACCUCCUUUCUAAG
rnacentral:rRNA from 1 species